rnacentral:snRNA from 1 species
AUCCAUCCAACCGUUGUUGGCAGGAUUUGAACCUGCGCGGGGAAACCCCAACCCCAAUAGAUUUUUGGAACAGGGAGAUGGAAUAGGGGCUUGCUCCGUCCACUCCACGCAUCGACCUGGUAUUGCAGUAUCUCCAGGAACGGUGCACUCCCU